UGUUAUACAGGUGCUGCAUGGCUGUCGUCAGCUCGUGCCGUGAGGUGUUGGGUUAAGUCCGCAACGAGCGCAACCCUUGUGACUAGUUGCCACUCCCAUUUCGGUGGGAAGCACUCUAGUCAGACUGCCCGUGAUAAGCGGGAGGAAGGUGGGGAUGACGUCAAGUCCGUAUGGCCUUUAUGCCCAGGGCUGCACACGUGCUACAAUGGAUGGUACAGAAGGACGCAAGACCGCGAGGUGGAGCAAAUCCCCAAAACCAUCCACAGUUCAGAUUGGAGUCUGCAACUCGACUCCAUGAAGCUGGAAUCGCUAGUAAAGGCGUAUCAGCUACGACGCCUUGAAUACGUUCCCGGGCCUU
rnacentral:rRNA from 1 species